UGGGGAAUAUUGGACAAUGGAGGAAACUCUGAUCCAGCAAUUCUGUGUGUGUGAAGAAGGUUUUAGGACUGUAAAACACUUUUAGUAGGGAAGAAAAAAAUGACGGUACCUACAGAAGAAGCAACGGCUAAAUACGUGCCAGCAGCCGCGGUAAUACGUAUGGGGCGAGCGUUGUCCGGAAUUAUUGGGCGUAAAGGGUACGUAGGCGGUCUAUUAAGUCAGGUGUGAAAGCGUGAGGCUUAACCUCAUUAAGCACUUGAAACUGAUAGACUUGAGUGAAGGAGAGGAAAGUGGAAUUCCUAGUGUAGCGGUGAAAUGCGUAGAUAUUAGGAGGAAUACCGGUGGCGAAGGCGACUUUCUGGACUUUUACUGACGCUCAGGUACGAAAGCGUGGGGAGCGAACAGG
rnacentral:rRNA from 1 species